rnacentral:rRNA from 6 species
AUUGAACGCUGGCGGCAUGCCUUACACAUGCAAGUCGGACGGCAGCGCGGGGGCAACCCUGGCGGCGAGUGGCGAACGGGUGAGUAAUACAUCGGAACGUGUCCUGGAGUGGGGGAUAGCCCGGCGAAAGCCGGAUUAAUACCGCAUACGCUCUGUGGAGGAAAGCGGGGGAUCUUCGGACCUCGCGCUCAAGGGGCGGCCGAUGGCAGAUUAGCUUGUUGGUGGGGUAAAGGCCUACCAAGGCGACGAUCUGUAGCUGGUCUGAGAGGACGACCAGCC